rnacentral:rRNA from 1 species
GACGAACGCUGGCGGCGUGCCUAAUACAUGCAAGUAGAACGCUGAAGGAGGAGCUUGCUCUUCUGGAUGAGUUGCGAACGGGUGAGUAACGCGUAGGUAACCUGCCUGGUAGCGGGGGAUAACUAUUGGAAACGAUAGCUAAUACCGCAUAACAGUAGAUGUUGCAUGACAUUUACUUAAAAGGUGCAAUUGCAUCACUACCAGAUGGACCUGCGUUGUAUUAGCUAGUUGGUGGGGUAACGGCUCACCAAGGCGACGUUACAUAGCCGACCUGAGAGGGUGAUCGGCCACACUGGGACUGAGACACGGCCCAGACUCCUACGGGAGGCAGCAGUAGGGAAUCUUCGGCAAUGGACGGAAGUCUGACCGAGCAACGCCGCGUGAGUGAAGAAGGGUUUCGGAUCGUAAAGCUCUGUUGUAAGAGAAGAACGAGUGUGAGAGUGGAAAGUUCACACUGUGACGGUAUCUUACCAGAAAGGGACGGCUAACUACGUG